CAAGAAAUAACAAACAACCUAACUCAACCAUCUCUCACUUUCACUCUCCCUCUCCCUCCCAUCCCCUCCCUCUCCCUCUCCCUCUCUCCCAUUCCUUAACUACCUAACCACACUGGCCAUCAUAUCCCACAUCCUGCUCUUCUUAUCCCAGUGCCCUCUCUCACUCUCACUUUCUCACUCUCUCUCAGUCCCGUCUUAAACUUUACUCGUGUCGCAUCUCCACCAGUCAGUCAGUCAGUCAGUCAGCCAGCCAACCAACCAGUAAACCAGUCAGCCAGUCAAUCAGUAAUCCGAUACGCAUGCACACACGCACGCACGCACGCACGCACGCACGCAAAGUGAUAGUUAUUACGUGUGGAAAGAGAAUUGCGUGUUCUGCUACUUCUUCUAAUACUACUAUUACUACUACUGCCGUGAAGAGAAAGCCUUCAGGUUGUUGAGAAAUGAGCCAAGAAUCUUCAGGGAGACCGCAUCAGUAUGGUCAACGCUAACACCUAUAGAUAUCUAGUGCCUGGCUUCCUGCCCUGUCCAUCGUCAUCCAUUAGUGACGGCGUUAAGGGCGGCCUCAUCUCAGCCUCAUGUCACAGCAAGCAUCCUUCAUCUCCUUACAUCAACAUUAUCUCAACACCGACCGUACAAGAAACUCGCUGACUUAGGCCUCGUCCUGAUCCUCGCCCUCACCGCCAGCUCCUUUCCUUCCUCAUUGACAAACUCGCUUGCACAACAACAACUUCUUUCACCCGCCUGAUGGUAACAAUGUGUAUGAAUGUGUAUGCAUGUAAUUAACGUUAAUUUAUAUUUUUUUCUGUGUGAUUAUGUAUAUCUUUGCAAACGAUCAUUCACAUCAAAGCGUGAUUGCUCUCUGUGUGACAAUGGCUCAACUCAAGCAAGUCUGCACGAGCUACGGCUCAACACUCUUUGCUACAAAAUGCAAAUGUUACAGUAAUUCUUGUAUUAAUAUUAUAAAGUA